rnacentral:rRNA from 1 species
GAAAAACUCCGGUGGUACAAGAUGGACCCGCGUCUGAUUAGCUGGUUGGUGAGGUAACGGCCCACCAAGGCAACGAUCAGUAGCCGGCCUGAGAGGGUGAACGGCCACAUUGGGACUGAGACACGGCCCAAACUCCUACGGGAGGCAGCAGUGGGGAAUAUUGCACAAUGGGGGAAACCCUGAUGCAGCAACGCCGCGUGAGUGAAGAAGUAUUUCGGUAUGUAAAGCUCUAUCAGCAGGAAAGAAAAUGACGGUACCUGACUAAGAAGCCCCGGCUAACUACGUGCCAGCAGCCGCGGUAAUACGUAGGGGGCAAGCGUUAUCCGGAUUUACUGGGUGUAAAGGGAGCGUAGACGGUUUUGCAAGUCUGAAGUGAAAGCCCGGGGCUUAACCCCGGGACUGCUUUGGAAACUGUAGAACUAGAGUGCAGGAGAGGUAAGUGGAAUUCCUAGUGUAGCGGUGAAAUGCGUAGAUAUUAGGAGGAACACCAGUGGCGAAGGCGGCUUACUGGACUGUAACUGACGUUGAGGCUCGAAAGCGUGGGG